rnacentral:rRNA from 1 species
GACGAACGCUGGCGGCGUGCUUAACACAUGCAAGUCGAACGAAGUGGCGAACGGGUGAGUAACGCGUAAUCAACCUGCCCUUCAGAGGGGGACAACAGUUGGAAACGACUGCUAAUACCGAAUACUGAAGGAGGGAAUUGCGUCUGACUAGCUAGUUGGAGGGGUAACGGCCCACCAAGGCGAUGAGCAGUAGCCGGGCUGUGGAGAUGAACGGCCAAAUUGGGACUGGUACACGGCCCCGACUCCUACGGGAGGCAGCAGUGGGGAAGCUUCCGCAAUGGACGAAAGUCUGACGGAGCAACGCCGCGUGAGUGAUGACGGCCUUCGGGUUGUAAAGCUCUGUUAAUCGGGACGCGGUACCGGAAUAGAAAGCCACGGCUAACUACGUGCCAGCAGCCGCGGUAAUUC